rnacentral:lncRNA from 1 species
GCUGGGCGCGGUGGCUCACGCCUGUAAUCCCAGCACUUUGGGAGGCCGAGGUGGGCGGAUCAUGAGGUCAGGAGUUUGAGACCAGCUGGCCAAUAUGGUGAAACCCUGUCUCUACCAAAAAUACAAAAAUUAGCCGGGCAUGGUGGUGCACGCCUGUAGUCCCAGCUACUUGGGAGGCUGAGGCAGAAGAAUCUCUUGAACCCGGGAGGUGGAGGUUGCAGUGAGCCAAGAUUGUGCCACUGCACUCCAGCCUGGGCAAUAUUGAGACUCCAUCU